rnacentral:rRNA from 1 species
UACGGAGGGUGCAAGCGUUAUCCGGAUUCACUGGGUUUAAAGGGUGCGUAGGUGGGCAGGUAAGUCAGUGGUGAAAUCUCCGGGCUUAACCCGGAAACUGCCAUUGAUACUAUCUGUCUUGAAUACCCUGGAGGUGAGCGGAAUAUGUCAUGUAGCGGUGAAAUGCUUAGAUAUGACAUAGAACACCAAUUGCGAAGGCAGCUCACUAGACAAUCAUUGACGCUGAGGCACGAAAGCGUGGGGAUCAAACAGG